rnacentral:rRNA from 1 species
UGCCUAACACAUGCAAGUCGGAUGUGCCGCAAGGUGCAUGGCAGACGGGUGAGUAACGCGUGGGGAAUCUACCUCUUUGUGGGGAAUAACGCUCCGAAAGGAGUGGUAAUACCGCAUGAGACCGAGUGCUGGGAUGCAUUCGGUGAAACCUGGGGACCGUAAGGCCUGGGGCAAGGAGAGGAUCCUGCGUCUGAUUAGCUAGUUGGCGGGGUAAUGGCCCACCAAGGCAACGAUCAGUAGCCGGCCUGAGAGGGUGAUCGGCCACAUUGAAACUGAGACACGGUCCAAACUCCUACGGGAGGCAGCAGUGGGGAAUUUUGCGCAAUGGACGAAAGUCUGACGCUGCAACGCCGCGUGGGUGAUGAAGGUCUUCGGACUGUACUCCCC